UACAGAGGGUGCGAGCGUUGUCCGGAAUCACUGGGCGUAAAGGGCGCGUAGGCGGUUUUGUAAGUCGGGGGUGAAAUGCUGCGGCUCAACCGCAGCGCUGCCUUCGAGACUGCAAGACUGGAGCACGGUAGAGGCGGAUGGAAUUCCCGGUGUAGCGGUGGAAUGCGUAGAGAUCGGGAAGAACACCAAUGGCGAAGGCAGUCC
rnacentral:rRNA from 1 species